GUUUCGAAUAAUCCAACGCAGCUGAUGUCGCGUUAAAAAGUAUCCGCCGUAGGAUUAAAAGACGGGGACGAAAACAUGUUUGGCCCUUGGCAUUACAUUUUGUGUAAAUUGCUGGUGGAGUUUUAUUAAACGGUCGCUGGCUAUUUUUCGUAUGAGAUCUUCUAAAAGAGGACACCAACGAGAAUCACGAACCUUGAUCGACUUCUUAGAGUUCACUGAGGCUGGUUACAGAGCCACUGCCUUGAUCCCUGCAAUACGUAGAGUGUCUCAAAAAAAGUUUAGUGAUCGAUGACCACGAGGAAUCAAGAGUAACCUUUUUUGUCACAAGUUCUGAAGGGCUCCUGUGAAAUCAUAGCAAGAAAAGAACGAAAAUGCAUUGAUUAACGCUAAGCCCUGAUUGUUAGAUGAGUAGGUGGCGCAAAUGUCAUUACCCGAGUAAUUUCAGUUUUUGCCGUUGUAUACCAUGAAAUCCACUUGUGAAUGAAUUUCAGAACUUAAAAAUAACAGCAAAAUGCAGAAAAAGAUAAAAUUUGAAAUUGGACUCUUGAACUGCCCCUUGUCAUCCACGUGCACGUCAUGCACUUGAUGAAAGAGAAUUAAACUCAAAGACGUUUAAA